CCUACGGGAGGCAGCAGUGGGGAAUAUUGCGCAAUGGGCGAAAGCCUGACGCAGCGACGCCGCGUGAGGGAUGAAGGUCUUCGGAUCGUAAAGCUCUGUCAGCAGGGAAGAACGGUUACUGUGCUAAUCAGCAGUGAAUUGACGGUAUCUGCAAAGGCAGCAACGGCGAAAUCCGUGCCAGCAGCGUCGGUAAUACGGAGGGUGCGAGCGUUAAUCGGAGUUACUGGGGGUAAAGCGCUCGUAGACGGUAUGUCAAGUCCAAGGUGAAAUCGCCGCGCUCAACGCGGGAACUGCCUUGGAAACUGGCAAACUGGAGUGUGUGAGAGGAUAGUGGAAUU
rnacentral:rRNA from 1 species